rnacentral:tRNA from 2 species
AAUGAUGUGCCUGAACUAAUAGGACUAUCGUGAUAGGAUAAAACAUGUAGUAUCAACUACCUUCAUUA